rfam:Salmo salar isolate Sally breed double haploid chromosome ssa09, whole genome shotgun sequence.
AGCGUACAGUAUUAUAUAUCGCUCUGGAUAAGAGCGUCUGCUAAAUGACUUAAA